rnacentral:lncRNA from 1 species
UGCAGGCCCACGAUCACGACCACGCCUCAGUCCUCUGGAUAGUUCACGUAGAGGCGGUCUGUGUCCUCGUCGUGCUGCCACGCCAGCUGGGUGCCGUCGGGAUCAUCUGUCUCUGGGGUACCUGUACCUGUUGGGAGUUUCGGAGGAAUCCGUGAGCCAUGGGGACUCAGCAAUCUAAGACCUUGGUGCCAGAACAAGUCAUGUUUUUAGGUAGGGAUUAGGUGAAGUGUAUAAGGCUGGAGCAUCCUAAGCUGGAUUAAGUGGCUAACUUACGCAAAGUAAUUGUGAAGGUGGUCUACACUAGCGAUCAGAUUUACUAGAUCACUAAGUGAUCCUGAACACUUACCUACGGCAUUCAUAACCCCACCGUGUCACCGAUCGAAGAGAGAUCUUCGAAGUGGCAGUCACGGUUACGCACACAGUUGGCAAUUUUAUUAGCUUAUGUUUAAGUUCUCUAAUACCGGAUGUUAACAAAAUAUUCCAAGUUGCCACAUAACCGCGGGCACGACUUUCCGAAAGAUUAAACCCUGCAGGGGUGCUCCAACUAGUCAAUCACAAACGUACACACGCCGCAAAGUAAUCCUCUAUCACGAAUCUUGUGAUCUCGUCGGAUUCCUUAGAGGAAAACCUCAACUCUGGGGGAAACCAAAGCUUCACUGGGAUUCCUAUACGCAAGAUAUAUCGCUAAGGUAAGGCAAGACUAGCAGGACAUCCCGACGUGUCGACGACCCCGAUAAGAGCAGCGUAUCUCAGUCUCAGGACAUGCCGGAUGGAACUAGCUACAGGUACCAAACCUCAAGUUUCCUUGUGGUGGCCUCGCAGGCAGACCAGUUUGGACCAACACUCAUGAGGAGCACUGGCCCGGGUUGUUGAUUAAAGAUCCUGGGCUGAUCAUUCCCUAUGCAAAUUAUUAUUAGGUGAUUAGCAAAUUAACACCAAUGUUGGGUCCUGCCAGACAAGCCUUAGCACUAAGCGAUUUAUCAAGGGGGUCCCCAUAACAACCCCGAACGUGUUAGGAGCGAUCAUUAUGGAAUCAAACACCGGUAACCGGUAACUAAGGCGGCAAUAACGGAACAAAGCACCCGGCAAAAGGCUAGGCCUCCCAUCAUUUGCCAAGUAUAUAGGUGCAUUAAUUAAAUAACUGAAUUUAAGAUAAUGAUAUCAAGCUCAUGUUAUCACAUGAGUCAAAGCACCUGCAUCUAGCAAUGCUAUCCUUAGUAGCUGAGCAAAGCCUACUUAGUCAUACAAGUUUGCUAGGAGGGGGAACAGUGUUUGGUCUCAUGGCAUAUGAAGAGGCAAUUUAAUUUCAGUGGUAGGCAACGAGCAAUAUGACAUGGAAACGAAACUAGCAUAACAAGUCUAGAGAUGGAAUCAAGGUCAUAUCAUCUUACCUGUGAUAUCCUCAGCUUGGAAUGGUUCUGGUUCGUCCUGCACGUACUCUCCUGACUCCACGUAUUCGUUCUCCG